rnacentral:rRNA from 1 species
GGGUUGCGGUCUUUUUUGAAUUUUUGGGUCAGGCUCAGGAUGAACGCUGGCGGCGUGCUUAACACAUGCAAGUCGAACGAUGAACCUCACUUGUGGGGGGAUUAGUGGCGAACGGGUGAGUAACACGUGAGUAACCUGCCCUUGACUCUGGGAUAAGCCUGGGAAACCGGGUCUAAUACUGGAUACGACCUUCUGGCGCAUGCCAUGUUGGUGGAAAGCUUUUGUGGUUUUGGAUGGACUCGCGGCCUAUCAGCUUGUUGGUGGGGUAAUGGCCUACCAAGGCGACGACGGGUAGCCGGCCUGAGAGGGUGACCGGCCACACUGGGACUGAGACACGGCCCAGACUCCUACGGGAGGCAGCAGUGGGGAAUAUUGCACAAUGGGCGCAAGCCUGAUGCAGCGACGCCGCGUGAGGGAUGAAGGCCUUCGGGUUGUAAACCUCUUUCAGUAGGGAAGAAGCCUGUCUUUUGGGUGGGUGACGGUACCUGCAGAAGAAGCGCCGGCUAACUACGUGCCAGCAGCCGCGGUAAUACGUAGGGCGCAAGCGUUAUCCGGAAUUAUUGGGCGUAAAGAGCUCGUAGGCGGUUUGUCGCGUCUGCCGUGAAAGUCCGGGGCUUAACUCCGGAUCUGCGGUGGGUACGGGCAGACUAGAGUGCAGUAGGGGAGACUGGAAUUCCUGGUGUAGCGGUGAAAUGCGCAGAUAUCAGGAGGAACACCGAUGGCGAAGGCAGGUCUCUGGGCUGUAACUGACCGCGGAGGAAGGC